UGGUGAGGUGUCCGAGUGGCUGAAGGAGCACGCCUGGAAAGUGUGUAUACGCACCGUAUCGGGGGUUCGAAUCCCCCCCUCACCGCCAU
rnacentral:tRNA from 1 species